UAGCGGCGGACGGGUGAGUAAUGCUUAGGAAUCUGCCUAUUAGUGGGGGACAACAUUCCGAAAGGAAUGCUAAUACCGCAUACGCCCUACGGGGGAAAGCAGGGGAUCUUCGGACCUUGCGCUAAUAGAUGAGCCUAAGUCGGAUUAGCUAGUUGGUGGGGUAAAGGCCUACCAAGGCGACGAUCUGUAGCGGGUCUGAGAGGAUGAUCCGCCACACUGGGACUGAGACACGGCCCAGACUCCUACGGGAGGCAGCAGUGGGGAAUAUUGGACAAUGGGCGGAAGCCUGAUCCAGCCAUGCCGCGUGUGUGAAGAAGGCCUUUUGGUUGUAAAGCACUUUAAGCGAGGAGGAGGCUACUUAGAUUAAUACUCUAGGAUAGUGGACGUUACUCGCAGAAUAAGCACCGGCUAACUCUGUGCCAGCAGCCGCGGUAAUACAGAGGGUGCGAGCGUUAAUCGGAUUUACUGGGCGUAAAGCGUGCGUAGGCGGCUGAUUAAGUCGGAUGUGAAAUCCCUGAGCUUAACUUAGGAAUUGCAUUCGAUACUGGUCAGCUAGAGUAUGGGAGAGGAUGGUAGAAUUCCAGGUGUAGCGGUGAAAUGCGUAGAGAUCUGGAGGAAUACCGAUGGCGAAGGCAGCCAUCUGGCCUAAUACUGACGCUGAGGUACGAAAGCAUGGGGAGCAAACAGGAUUAGAUACCCUGGUAGUCCAUGCCGUAAACGAUGUCUACUAGCCGUUGGGGCCUUUGAGGCUUUAGUGGCGCAGCUAACGCGAUAAGUAGACCGCCUGGGGAGUACGGUCGCAAGACUAAAA
rnacentral:rRNA from 1 species